rnacentral:rRNA from 1 species
UACAGAGGUCUCAAGCGUUGUUCGGAUUCAUUGGGCGUAAAGGGUGCGUAGGCGGCGCGGUAAGUCGGGAUGUGAAAUCUCGGAGCUUAACUCCGAAACUGCAUUCGAUACUGCCGUGCUUGAGGACUGGAGAGGAGACUGGAAUUUACGGUGUAGCGGUGAAAUUCGUAGAUAUCGGGAGGAACACCGGUGGCGAAGGCGGCGACCUGGGUAGAUACUGACGCUGAGGCGCGAAAGCGUGGGGGAGCAAACAGGGAUUAAGAAAACCCUGAG